GAUGAACGCUGACAGAAUGCUUUAACACAUGCAAGUCUACUUGAUCCUUCGGUGAUGGUGGCGGACGGGUGAGUAACGCGUAAAGAAACUUGCCCUGCAGUCUGGGGACAAACAUUUGGAAACGAAUGCUAAUACCGGAUAUUAUGUGAGUUUCGCAUGAAAUUCAUAUGAAAGCUAUAUGCGCUGCAGGAGAGCCUUGCGUCCUAUUAGCUAGUUGGUGAGGUAACGGACUCACCAAGGCGAUGAUAGGUAGCCGGCC
rnacentral:rRNA from 1 species